rnacentral:rRNA from 1 species
AACGAACGCUGGCGGCAGGCUUAACACAUGCAAGUCGAGCGCCCCGCAAGGGGAGCGGCAGACGGGUGAGUAACGCGUGGGAAUCUACCUUUUGCUACGGAAUAACUCAGGGAAACUUGUGCUAAUACCGUAUGUGCCCUUCGGGGGAAAGAUUUAUCGGCAAAGGAUGAGCCCGCGUUGGAUUAGCUAGUUGGUGAGGUAAAGGCUCACCAAGGCGACGAUCCAUAGCUGGUCUGAGAGGAUGAUCAGCCACACUGGGACUGAGACACGGCCCAGACUCCUACGGGAGGCAGCAGUGGGGAAUAUUGGACAAUGGGCGCAAGCCUGAUCCAGCCAUGCCGCGUGAGUGAUGAAGGCCCUAGGGUUGUAAAGCUCUUUCAACGGUGAAGAUAA